rnacentral:lncRNA from 1 species
UAAUUAAUUUCCAUAUUAAUCAAUUAACAUGCAUACAAUACAAUAUAACCUUUAUAUCAUACAUUUUAAUGCAUGAACAUGUUAACCUAUGGUGGGAUUUUAAAUCUAUAUGACAUUCAAAAUGCACAUACAAAUUUAAAGUAAUUUAAUCAUACAUCACAUGCAUAAAUAAAAAAAACACCCUAAAAUGGACUGAUUUUUGGCUCCUAAAUUAAGCUAAGUGCUAAAUUAUUACAUAAUUAAUUUGGUGUAGUACAGAACCACUCCCAAAAAUUUCGAACCGGCUAAAAAACCAACCGAACCGCUUGAACCGGCCCAAAAACCAAAUUUAUUGGCUUGAACCGGCCCAGGCGCACACGGGUCGUGCGAAGGCAGGCGCGCGGGCGAAGGCGGGCGCGCGGGCGCAUGCGGGCGCGCGGACACAUGCGCGCGCGGCGCGCAUGCAGGGCGCGCGGCGCAGGAGGCGCGCGGGCGCAGGAGGCGCGGGCGCAGGAGGCGCGCGGCGCAGGAGGCGCGCGGGCGCAGGAGGGCGCGCGGCGCGCGUGCGACGCAGGAGGGCGCGCGGGCGCAGGAGGGCGCGCGGGCAUGCGGGCGCGUGCGGGUCGCGAAGCGGGUCAAAACCGGGUUUUCGGGUCUGUGACCUUCUUUUCUUCAUUUUUUUCAAUUCUCUCACCCGGUUGAACAAUUACAGCCUAGCUUCAACUCUAAUGACUUUUUUUAUUUUUUUAAAAAUUACAAACACUUUGCAACAAUAAAAAUAAGCCAUUAACAAGGCUAAUUACAAUAAUUAGAACAAAAACACUUAAUCUAGAGCCAAAAUCAUAAUAUAUCCAUUUUAGUUCAAACCAAAAUUUAUCUAAUAAAUAUGAACCCACCACAUGCAAUUGGGUAAAAAUGAAGCAUGCUCUGAUACCACAUGAUAGAACUAAGUCAUGCACAGCGGAAAAAGAAUCGAAUUUCUACCCUAAUUGCCACAAUUAACAUGUAACCAUAAACUAAUCAAAUUAGGGUUUUAAGAAGUAUUACCUUUGAAGCUUUCAAAAGGUUUGAUGUCUUCUUACCAAUUCUACCCGAGACCACCACUAGUACUCAACUGCUAUCCUCUAGACAAAGAACCGGGUUGUGGGACCCAAUUUUGGUGUAGAAAGUAAUGGAGAUAAAAUGAGAUUGGAAGCUUUCUUUUUUCUUUUGUUGAGAUUAUGAAAAUGAUAAAAGAGGCAAAAGUCCUUCAACAUUUGAAAACAUCUCUAUUUAUAGCCUAAUUACAUGCAAAAAUGCAUGCAAUUCAAUUGCCAAAUCUCAACACCUAAUAUUCCACUAACAAUUAGUGGAACUUAGUGGGCUAGGUGUCUAUAUCUCAUAUAGCCACAUAUCCCACUAAGAGUUAGUGGGAUUAUCCAACAAAAUGUUGGAUUUUCCCACUAACUUAGUCCAAGGGUAAAAUGGUCAUUAGAUUUUUCUAGUCAAAAGUCAAACUUUGACUUUUCUAAGUCAAAAGUCAAUAUUUUGACUUUUUACCAUUUUGUCCGUCUUGACUAAUUCCAACCUCCCGAGCAUGAAUCCGCAUUCAUUUUUCCAAAAUUCAAAUCACAUUUGAAUAUAAGGCCGGUCAAAGUUUGACUUUUCAAAGUCAAAAGUCAACAUUUUGACUUUUUACUAUUUUUGACCAAUUCCGAGCUUCUUAGUAUGAAUCCGCAUUCAUACUUAUAGUAUGUAAAACAUAAAGCUCUAUUUCUAAUUAGAAGACCGACGAUUAUAUCACUGUAUAUGUCGGUUUUCCUCUUCUCCCUAUUCGAACAAUUCGACUUAUUUCAUCACACUGUUCUAAGUUUAAUCCAUAUGAGCUAGCAGAGGAACCUAAUGGACCUAUAGAUCAUGGGCUCCAACGAUUCAAGAUUAACUAGCUAAACUCUUUUAAACCGAGUUAAUCAACAUUCGUUAACUAACGGGUCAUUCCACUAAAGUCCCGUAGUUGCACUCCCCUCACUAUAGAUAUAUUUGUGUCCAUUUGAUAAAACCAUAAUCAGUAAGUUAAUCCUUCACAGGUUGCUCGUAACCUUGGCUGGGUCAAAAUACCGUUUUACCCCCAAGAUUACAUCUUGCUCCUUAAGUCCCACUAAUCCACUAUUGAACAAUUGGUUUAAGGUUCAACCUAUAAACUUAAUCCCUCUCGGGCCAAUGAGAGGGUGGGGCCCCUUGUUCAAGACUUGGAUUCAGUGCUUAAGAGAGCAACCUAUCUACUAACCCUAAAGCGGGUAGGAGUGAAUUCCAUCUUGUACCCUAUGUUCCCAGCUAUCCACCCGAUCUUACCCCUGAAAUGGGAGGCUUAUUGGGCCAACGCUGAUGAGCUGCCCUCACCUAUGCAGAUCUAAGGAUAAUCUCGUAUGAACAGGAGUUCAUAGUUAACUCAGGAUUAAGACUAAGUUACCUAGGUCAUCAAUAAUUGAGAUAGUCAGUUUUAAACAGUAAACGGUGUUAUAACGUAAAAAUGACUAAUUCAUGGUUCAGUCUUAUGUAAACAUUUUACAUAGGAUGCCCCCACUUUCAUGUCUCUACAUGAACGAUUAGGAUCACAUCGUUUGUACUACAAAGUGGGCCGCAUCCAUAGUCUCUCAAAAUAAGGCGCCCAACCUUUAUUUCAUAUACUAUAGACUAUUUAGGCUAUAUACUCGAACUUGAUCCACGUUUAUGUUUACACAUAAAGUUCAAGUUUAUUCAAAAAAUAGCCUUGGAACUUUGAUUUAUUGGAUUUAAGAUUAUAAUAUUUAAUUUCUCAAUAACAACUUUAUUGAAUAGAAUAUGAUUUACAAACUACGAGUUUUAGGACAAAAAAUUCCAACAAACUCCCACUUGGACUAAAAUUCCUAGUGGUAUGAGAGAUGUGGUGUGAGAGAAUAUAUAUGAAACUAGGGCACAUGGCCAAUAAGUCUCCCACUUGUCCUAGUUUACAAACAUCGUACACCUAAACUGUGUAGGUGACCCUCAAACACUUUAGCCAUGAGGGCUUUUGUAAAAUGAUCAGCUUCCAUUGUGGAAUCAGCUAUACAAGUUUGCUUUAUGCUUCUCCAAACUACUGCUCCUCCAUUUAGAGUAAAUACUGAUUCUGAUGUAGACUUUCUAACAUCUUUAUUAGUUUGGAAAUCUGAAUCAGUGUAUCCAGUAAGGAUCAUAUCCUUUGUACGAUACAUGAGCAUGUAGAAUGUUUUUAACGGCUGUCCAGUGAUCACGUCCAUGAUUGGAUUGAUACCUACUGACCAUCCCUACUGAGUAGCAAAUGUCAGGUCUAGUACAUAACAUAUGCAUACAUUAAACUUCCAACAGCGGAAGCAUAGGGAAUAUUUCUCAUAUCCUCAACUUCUUGAGGUGUCUUAGGACAUUGUUCCUUUGACAAAUGAAUUCCAUAUCUGUACGGCAGCAGACCCUUUUUGGAAUUCUGCAUUUUAUAUCUAGACAACAUUUUGUCUAUGUAAGAUGCUUGAGACAUGGCUAGUGUUUUGUUCUUACGGUUUCGAACAAUUUGGAUUCCGAGAACGUAUUGUGCAUCUCCCAGAUCUUUCAUUUGAAAUUGCAUAGCUAGCCAUUUCUUGAUAUCAGGAAGAUAUCCUAGUCAUUUCCAAUAAGUAGAAUAUCAUCUACAUAUAAGACUAAAAAAUGCUAUAAUGGAAUUGACGACCUUUUGUAAACACAAGGCUCGUCAACAUUUUGUUCAAAGCCAUAAGAUUUUGAUCGCAAUAUCAAAUCUUAUAUUCCAGGAUCUAGAAGCUUGUUUUAAUCCAUAAAUGGAUUUUUUAAGCUUACAAACCUUUUGUUCUUGAUCUUGUUUUAUAAACCCCUCUGGUUGAGACAUAUAGAUACUCUUCAAGAUUACCGUUCAAAAAAGCUGUCUUGACAUCCAUCUGCCAAAUUUCAUAAUCAUAAAAAGUGGCGAUGGAUAAGAGUAUUCUAAUUGACUUUAACAUGGCAACGGGAGAGAAAGUUUCCUCUAGUCUACUCCCUCUCUCUAGGUAUAACCCUUUGCCACAAGUCGAGCCUUAAAAGUCUGUACUUUACCGGCAUGGUCUCGUUUUCUCUUGUAGAUCCAUUUACAACCAAUAGGUUUUACGUCAUUUGGUUGAUCUACUAGAGUCUAGAAAGAAUUAAAGUACAUAGACUCCAUUUCGAGGUCCAUGGCUUUGAUCCAUUGGUCACGAUCUACAUCUUUCAUUGCCUGUUUAUAGGUUAAUGGAUCCUCUAUGCCAUCGUCAGGUAUGACGACUUGAGUUUCAAUUAAACCCAAAUAGCGAUCAGGCUGAUGAACAACCCUCCCACUACGUCGAGGCUCUCUCAACUGUUGAGAAGGAUGUGAUUGACCAGAUUUCCUAGUCUUAUCAACUACUUUAGUGGAUGAACUAGGUUUUAUCUAUAGCACUUUUGGAAAUUUCUUUAAAUACUAGUUUACUACGAGGUUGAUGAUCCCUGAUGUGGUAUUUUAUUUUCUUGAGGAUCAUAAAACAAACCACCUCUUGAUUCUUUUGGAUAACCUAUAAAAAAGCAUAAUUUUGAACGAUGUUCCAAUUUCUUUGGAUUUUGUACCAACACAUGUGCUGGACAACCCCAAAUUUUAAAAUGACGUAAACUGCCUUUACGCCCUUUCCAUAGCUCAUAAGGUGUUUCUGAAACACUUUUAGAGGGAACAUUAUUCAAAAUAUAAGCAGCUGUUUCUAAAGCAUAUCCCCAAAAAGAAUCUGACAUCUGAGAAAAACUCAUCAUAGAGCGAACCAUGUCUAACAAGGUCCAGUUUCUUCUUUCUGAUACACCGUUCUGUUGAGGUGUACUAGGUGCAGAGAGUUGUGACUGGAUUCCAUUUUCUAUUAAAUAGUCUCGGAAUCGUAAGUCCAUAUACUCUCCACCUCGAUCUGAUCGAAGUAUUUUUAUUGUUUUACCUAAUUCGUUUUCUACUUCAGCCUUAUAUUCUUUGAACUUUUCAAGACUAUUAGACUUAUGAUGUAUUAGGUAAAUAUGACCAUACCUUGAAUAAUCAUCAAUGAAGCUAAUGAAAUAUUCAUAUCCACCUCGAGUUUUGACAUUCAUUGGUCCACAAAGGUCCGAAUGUACGAGCUCUAAGGGUCCUUUGGCUCUUAGACCUUUUCCAGUAAAAGAUCUCUUGGUCAUUUUUCCUUCAAGACAAGAUUCACAAGGAGGUAAAGAGUUAUCUUCUAACGGACUUAGAAGCCCACUUUUAACCAAUCUCCCAAUCCUAUUGAGAUUUAUGUGACCAAGUCUUAAGUGCCAUAAAUAGGCAUUAGAAGAAACUUUUUGUCUUUUAUUCUGAGUUUCAGCUGUUCUGAAUAUUUCAGUAUUUAAGACAAAAUUUGCUCUAGUUGGUCUUAACUUAUAUAAGUUGUCUUCAAGUAUAGCAGAACAAACUAGAAUACCUUUAUAGAAAACGAACGCUUCAUUAAUUUCAAAAGAUAUUCUAUACAUUUGUUCCAAAAUACAAGAGAUAGAUAUUAAAUUUCUUUUCAUUUGAGGUACAUAUAAGACAUUCUUAAGUAUGACAUAUCUAUCUCUAAAAAACAACUUUAAAUCUCCCACUGCUGAAGCUGAGACCAUCUCUCCUGUUCCAACCUUGAGAGUGAUCUCGCCUUCUGAAAGCUUUUUCCAAGAACUAUUUUCCUGAAAUGAGAAGCAAAUAUGGUUAGUGGCUCCUGAAUCUAGUAUCCAGGUAGAAUUUUCAUAUUCCACUAAACAUGUUUCUACAACUAGUAAAUCAUAUUUACCUUGUGUUUCCUUCUCUGCCUUUUUUUCUGCAAGGUAUUUUGGGCAGUUUCUUAACCAGUGCCCGUUUUGGCCACAAUGGUAACACUUACCUUUUUCUGCAGCUUUCUUACCCUUGUUCUGUUUGGGAGUCUUUCCCUUUCCCUUCUUUUUUAUUUGAGCAUUAGGUUUUGAGGGUCCAGCUUUGGUUUUAGAGGACGAUCCUCUUAUAAAUUUUCUUUUUGUGGUAGCAACAUUUGCUUCCACUUGUUUUCCUUUACCCAUAGUUAGGUUUUGGAAUCGCUGGAGUUCAUUCAGAAGGGUUGUCAAGUUAAAUUCUAUCUUGUUCAAAGACGCAUUCGUUUGGAAUGGAAUGAAGCUCUUCGGAAGAGACUCUAAGAUAAAACUAACUUGAUUAACCUCUUCGAUGGGACCACCAUUCACUUCAGCGAUGUUGAAGUGCAUCAUCAUGUCCAGAACAUGUUCUCUAACAGAGGUCCCUUCCUUCAUACGCUUAGUGUAAAUGUAUUUGACUGCCUCGUGUCUUAAGGACCAUUCUGGUUGCCCAAACAUUCCCCUUAAUGAAUCCAUAAUCUCUUUAGCCGUGGCUAAGGAUUCAUGUUUCUUUGCCAAUACAUCAGACAUGCUGGCAAGAAUGUAAACACGGGCUUUUUCAUUAGCUUUUAUCCAUCGAUCAUAUGCAUCCCGACUAGUUCGGUUAGCAUUAGAGGCAGGGUUUUGAGGACAUUCCUCAGUUAAGACAAAUCUUAAAUCGUCAACCACUAGUAUUGUGUUAAGAUUUGAUUUCCAAGCCGCAUAAUUAUCGCCAUUAAGUUUUUCGGAAGCUAAAAGUUGAACUAUUGAGCUAUUCAUGCUGAAAAACAAACAUAUUCUUUUUAGGAAAAAACUAUAAUCAUAAAAAAUAUCCAAUCUAAUUUAGCAAUUACUAAUAAUGUACCCUUUCAUUAUUUGUAUUUUGCAACAAUAUUUCAAAGGUUUAGAACAACCUUCUCCGAAGGGUAGUUGAUUAUUCCUCCUUUGAACCAAGACAAUCUUGACUAGAUGCUAUCUCAAGAAUAACUCUUUAUUCUUUAUAGCACUUAGUUAUCGCUACUUUAGUCAAGAAUAUACUAACAACUUAGUAAUUCUUGUAAGUGUUACCCACCAUUUUCAGAUUUUAUAGAUUAGAAUCAUUUAUGAAAACUAAUCUAAGAAAUCCUAUCCAGUUUUGGAGUUCGCGGUGUUCCGAAUCCUAUAAUACAACCCUCCGAAGGGAACGUCGCUCCAGGGCAGACAAGCAGGCAUAUUAUAGAAAUCUCACGGUGCGACCUAAUGGAAGAGACCGUGGGAUGUGCUGUCACAAAUCCCUCACCCACUUACUAUGAACUACUUCCCCUAUUCACCUUGAUUUUGAUCCAUGCAAACACUCUCCGAAGGGAGGCCGCUCCUAUGCACGGCACAAAGCCCUGCAUGGACCUCACGGUGUGUGAACUCUUAGGGACACUAGAGCUAAAAUACAUUAUUUUUCUCUAGUUGAAGUGUUCUAGAAAAAAAUAGGGUAAUCCAAACUUCAAGAUUUAUAUUUAGGCUAACUUAAACAAAUCUUAAGUCUAGAUAAAACAUCCAAGUAUAACCAUUAUACAGGAUUUUAACCUAUGAUGUCUAGGUGAAAAACCAUUUUUAUUACCUCACACCUCUCACGAAUGCUCAUAAAACUAGGUUAACUAGGCUCAAGAACUGAUUACGAUCUCCAGGUAGGAGGUGUUCCGUAAACCGUCAACUUAAGAACCUCCAACCUUAGUCAUCUUAUCUGACUUGUUGACAAGAUUGAACCAGGUGAGCCUUUUGUAACCAGUUUUACAAGAUAUCGACCUAUUUCUAUGAAAAAUGGAAGAUAUGUUUAACCUAAGUGAGCAUGCAUUUAAUCUUUGUUAUUGAUUUUAAAAGUCUAAUUUAUUUUAUAACACUUAUAAAAAUUUUAAACUUAAUCAAUCAUUUUAUCAAUAUAUAAUAAAAACAAUCAAUUAAUAUGGAUUUUAAUUUAUUUAACUUUAAUUAAAUCAUAUUUAAUUAAAUUAAAUCAAACAAUAAUUAAUUAAUUUGAUUAAAUCAUAUUUAAUCAAGAAUAACUUAAUUAAUUAAAUAAUUAAUUAAUCAUAUUAAUUAAUUUCCAUAUUAAUCAAUUAACAUGCAUACAAUACAAUAUAACCUUUAUAUCAUACAUUUUAAUGCAUGAACAUGUUAACCUAUGGUGGGAUUUUAAAUCUAUAUGACAUUCAAAAUGCACAUACAAAUUUAAAGUAAUUUAAUCAUACAUCACAUGCAUAAAUAAAAAAAACACCCUAAAAUGGACUGAUUUUUGGCUCCUAAAUUAAGCUAAGUGCUAAAUUAUUACAUAAUUAAUUUGGUGUAGUACAGAACCACUCCCAAAAAUUUCGAACCGGCUAAAAAACCAACCGAACCGCUUGAACCGGCCCAAAAACCAAAUUUAUUGGCUUGAACCGGCCCAGGCGCACACGGGUCGUGCGAAGGCAGGCGCGCGGGCGAAGGCGG